UGAAGACUGAAGUGGAGAAAGGCUCCGUGUGAUCAGUAAUUG
rnacentral:rRNA from 1 species